ensembl:lncRNA TESHL testicular germ cell expressed HSF2 interacting lncRNA
ACUUAAGACACUACUUAUGGCAAAUACCAGAUAACUAAAUUGAAAAAUCCCUAUCUUGUUUACCUUUAUAAUCCAGGAAAGCUGGUCAGAUCUCCUAUUCAUAAUGGGAGAUUCAUGAAUACUUGCAAAUGACUUACUUCAUACUGAGGCUGUGCCAUUUGCCUGAGAAUGGACUUAGUCUCUUCAUUACUGGCUCCAUGACCAUCUCCCCUCUCCCCUCCUCACAUACAUCCUCCAUCCGUAGCUGGUACUACUCCUGUCUUCACUCCUCCUACUCUUACCCUCAAGCCUUGCCAAUCACUGCCCUCUUCCUCUUCCUUCUCCUUGCUCUCCUUUAGUGGUACUUUCUUCUAUGCUCCCGUAGGAAACUGGCUGAGUCCUGGGGUACAUGCAGCUCUGCUGUAUCCUAGUGUGGCUGAAUGCACACACUUAGUGCUCAUACUUACUGCUGGGAGAUGUUAGGGGCCUGAAGGAGGCUUUCCAGUCAUUUGCCUGAAGAUUGUAUUCCCAGCUCUGAGACAGAAGGAGCCCAGCUGCAGAGAAUCUAGGCCACUGUGACUUGGUCUUCCCCUCUCUGGGAUAUCACAAAGGCCAUAUGAGGUCAGUGAACCAAUCUACAAGAGAAGGGCUGAGCAGGGGACCUGAGAUGAUUUUCUCCAAUAUUUAGUCAGACUGAUUUUCUGGAUCCAAGUUUCUCAACUUACCAAAUGUGGGCAAAUCAUUAUAUUGCUCCCAGCCUUAAAAAUCUUCAAUAAGUUAAAGAGAGGACUCAGGCUUAAUGGCAAUCCUGUUAUCUUACCAAUGAGGAGACUAAACACCUAGUUGGAGAUCACCUCCUUACUGGCUCAGAGCUUCAGGAAAUAGCUCAAGGAUGUGCAAAUACUAAACAGUAGAGCUGGGAUUUAGAUCCACAUCUACUUAAUUUUAGUGCGUAUGCUCUAACUGCUGCCACAGAAGGGAUGCAGAGGAAGACGGUCAGUUACCCAGAGGGUGAUAUCUUUGACUUAAUGUUCACCAUAAAGACAGCUAUCAACAAAAGACUUGAAUUCUAACUUGUUAUCUAUUGCAGGAAAGUGCCUGCAAUAUGCCAUUGUGACAAGGCACCAUCAAUCAUCAUGUCCCUUUACCAGGAGGGCCCGUGUCAUAAGCCACUAUAUAAAGGGAAUGAUGGGUGGACUGCUUUGGACAAAUGGACCUGCGGUAGGAGAGAGGGACAACAGUAGGAGCAGGCAGAUCUUGCUGUUUCAACCAAAACCUCAUGCUGACCAGAGUUGAGGAACAGAAGAAGAUGGUGAAGGCCUGCAGGUAUAGGUGUUCAGCAUGUCAUCUGAAAUAUUCCCCACAGAGGCAAAAAGAAAGGAAAUUAUCUCUGAAAAGGAAUGGGAGGACAAGUCAGCAGAAUAUGUCAAUGUUUUGGUUGAAGAAGCUGCUUGAAUCUGGGCUUUUCUGUGCCAUGUGUUCUCCCAGGGCCAGCACAAAGAAGGGCUUUUGGUGCAGGCCCAAGACCACCAUAAUCAUCAUUGAUUAUUCCUCUCCACGCCAGUGUCUCUAAAUAAACUUUCUCUUCUUUCUCUGACAAA